GGGUGGUAAUGCCGGAUGCUCCGGUUGGAUGCAUGUCCUUCCGGGAAAGAUUCCAUCGGUAUGGGAUGGGGUCGCGUCCUAUCAGCUUGAUGGCGGGGUAACGGCCCACCAUGGCUUCGACGGGUAGCCGGCCUGAGAGGGCGACCGGCCACAUUGGGACUGAGAUACGGCCCAGACUCCUACGGGAGGCAGCAGUGGGGAAUAUUGCACAAUGGGCGCAAGCCUGAUGCAGCGACGCCGCGUGCGGGAUGGAGGCCUUCGGGUUGUAAACCGCUUUUGAUCGGGAGCAAGCCCUUCGGGGUGAGUGUACCCUUCGAAUAAGCACCGGCUAACUACGUGCCAGCAGCCGCGGUAAUACGUAGGGUGCAAGCGUUAUCCGGAAUUAUUGGGCGUAAAGGGCUCGUAGGCGGUUCGUCGCGUCCGGUGUGAAAGCCCAUCGCUUAACGGUGGGUCUGCGCCGGGUACGGGCGGGCUGGAGUGCGGUAGGGGAGACUGGAAUUCCCGGUGUAACGGUGGAAUGUGUA
rnacentral:rRNA from 1 species